rnacentral:rRNA from 1 species
AUUGAACGCUGGCGGCAGGCCUAACACAUGCAAGUCGAACGAGUGGCGGACGGGUGAGUAAUGUCUGGGAAACUGCCCGCUGGAGGGGGAUAACUACUGGAAACGGUAGCUAAUACCGCAUACCAUCGGAUGUGCCCAGAUGGGAUUAGCUAGUAGGUGGGGUAACGGCUCACCUAGGCGACGAUCCCUAGCUGGUCUGAGAGGAUGACCAGCCAAACUGGAUCGGAGCCACGGUCCAGACUACUACGGGAGGCAGCAGUGGGGUGUAUUGCACAAUGUGCGCAAGCCGGAUGCGACCAUGCCGCGUGUAUUAAGAAGGCCUUCGGGUUGUAAUGUUCUUUCAGCGAGGAGGCGUUACUCGAAGAAGAAGCACCGGCUAACUCCGUGCCAGCAGCCGCGGUAAUUC